UCGUGCUGAUGAGGACUUUUGCGACCGAAUCUCCGUGUGGAUUCUCGAGCUUUUUAACCCUGAGCGAC